AUACGUAGGGGGCGAGCGUUGUCCGGAAUGAUUGGGCGUAAAGGGCGCGUAGGCGGCCCGGUAAGUCUGGAGUGAAAGUCCUGUUUUUAAGAUGGGAAUUGCUUUGGAUACUGUCGGGCUUGAGUGCAGGAGAGGGAAGUGGAAUUUCCAGUGUAGCGGUGAAAUGCGUAGAGAUUGGGAGGAACACCAGUGGCGAAGGCGACUUACUGGACUGUAACUGACGCUGAGGCGCGAAAGUGUGGGGAGCAAACAGGAUUAGAUACCCUGGUAGUCCACACUGUAAACGAUGAAUGCUAGGUGUAGGGGGUAUCGACCCCUUCUGUGCCGCAGUCAACACAAUAAGCAUUCCGCCUGGGGAGUACGGCCGCAAGGUUGAAACUCAAAUGAAUUGGCGGGG
rnacentral:rRNA from 1 species